rnacentral:rRNA from 1 species
AUUGAACGCUGGCGGCAGGCCUAACACAUGCAUGUCGAACGAUUGGCGGACGGGUGAGUAAUGUCUGGGAAACUGCCCGAUGGAGGGGGAUAGCUACUGGAAACGGUAGCUAAUACCGCAUACCAUCGGAUGUGCCCAGAUGGGAUUAGCUAGUAGGUGGGGUAACGGCUCACCUAGGCGACGAGCCCUCGCUGGUCUGAGAGGAUGACCAGCCACACUGGAACGGAGACACGGUCCAGAGUCCUACGGGAGGCAGCAGUGGGGAAUAUUGCACAAUGGGCGCAAGCCUGAUGCAGCCAUGCCGAGUGUAUGAAGAAGGCCUUCGGGUUGUAAAGUACUUUCAGCGGGGAGGCGUUACCCGCAGAAGAAGCACCGGCUAACUCCGUGCCAGCCGCCGCGGUAAUAC